GUGUCGUUCCUGCUGCCAUCACAGUACAACUUAAGGCCUGACUGGACUGGUGGUCAAGGGGCUGAGCCCCACGGCUGGGCCACUGCAUGGCCUUGCCAAGGAGCUGUCUGACAAGAUCCAGAUCCAGGUAUUUGACAAGCUGCUACUGCUCAACCCCGGAAUAGAAGCAGAACAAAUCUUAAUGGCACCCAACUCAUUUAUGAAGCUCCAGACAAACAGGGAUGGUGCGGCCUCUCUGAGCUACCGUGUCCUGGAUGGGCCCGAGCAGGUUCCUGUCGUGCACAUUGAUGAGAAGGGCUUCCUGGUGUCAGGGUCUGUGAUGGGGACGCCCACAAUUGAAGUGACUGCACAAGAGCCUUUUGGGACCAACCAAACCAUCAUUGUUGGCGUAAAGGUGAGUGCUCCCCAGCCCAGAGGGAAGUCAUCAAGACCUUGCACCCAGAGUCCCUUCUGAGCUGCCAGCUGCAGUUCCAGCAGGCCGUCUCCGAUUUCCCAGCACGUGAUGUUCUCACCGUGGAGCCAGGCUUCGAUGCUGCUCUGGGUAAGUUUGCCAGGAUUGGAAAGUGAAAUGGACUGACAGAGAGUCUUUGACCUGUGGACAUCUCGGGUCUGCUGCGCGUUCAGCUCACAGCAGGCACC
rnacentral:lncRNA from 1 species